CUGUGGCCCACAACCUCUCCGACUGCCAGAGCACAGUCCUCCACCCAACACGGGAAACCAGGCGACACUUUAAGACCAUGUUCUCUGAUGGAAAGUUUGAUCAGAAAUGAGUCACCAAUUACCCCACUCUUCUGAGCCAUCCCGGUCACUGCUCCACCCCCUCUGCCGAUCCAGGGAGGGCGGCAGACUACCACAUGCCUCAUCUGAUACAUGUGGAGUCGCCAGCCGCUUCUUUUCACCUGACAGUGAGGAGUUUUACCAGGGGGAUGUAGUGUGUGGGAGGAUCAAGCUAUUCCCCCCAGUUCCCCCUUCCGCCGACCGACCAAAGGAGGCGCUAGUGCAGCGACCAGGACACAUAUCCACAUCUGGCUUCCCACCCGCAGACAUGGCCAAUUGUGUCUGUAGGGACGCCCGACCAAACCGGAGGUAACACGGGGAUGCGAUCUAGCGAGCCCCGUGUUGGUAGGCAACGGAAUAGACCGCUACGCUAUCCGUACGCCCAUAUCAUGCAUAAUUAUGGUGACAACUCGAGAGUAUAAACAAGGUGUCUGGACUGGCUUGAAUCCAAGAUGUCUGAUAAUGGUAAAAAGUGUAAAUGAAGACAUGCGAACAA